CACAUGCUACUCCAUAUUUGAUAUUUUUCUUCUUCCUUUAUGUGAUAAUCAAAUCAAAUUCAACUUCUGUGUUCUAGCAUCAAUGGCGGAAUUGACUUUAACUCCAAUAUAGACAAUCAUUGAUCAUUCUCAACAGCAACAACAAGAUCAAGUACCUUGACAUCUGGAAACAGAGGCAUGGACUCCAACUUUGGGCAACUCCAUAACUUCAGUUUCUUGAGACAGUCAAAUGAUAGUGAUGACCCAAGUGUUUCGUCCUUGCACCAUCUCUCCAAGCAAUAAAAAUCGUGCAGUGUGAGUUCUUCAAGGGUUAGGAAGAAUUGAGAUUCUAGUGUUGAUGAUAGGUUGUCAGAGUUUUCAAAAAAUUGCACAUUAUCCAUAAAUCGAAGAGUGAGGUGCCUGAGGUGUGGGAGCCAACCGAAAGGAGGGAGUGUUUGGCACUGUCCAAUGUCAUCAAUGCUGACAUUGACGAGUUCUGGGAGUACUGUGGCAAAAGUUCUGGGAGCAUUUUCAGAUUAAAAGGCGUCUAGAGGCCAUCUAACAUCGUCUAGUACUUAAGUGAAUCACUUUUGCUGGUAUCUCUUGCAGGUCCCCAUUUGAUUGCUAGCUCUAUAAGCCCGGUUUGCCGCUCAAGUUUGAUAUUGCAACUUCAUUUACAGCAGCACGCAGUCCAACUUUCUGAAAACUCAAUCAUUAGUCUUCCCUGUAAGCGAUUGAGGUUGCUAGUGACUGAAACCCACUGGUAGACUAAAUUUUAGAUUGUUAAUGUUCCUCUAAGUUCAAAUUUCAGAUUCUUGCCUUCUUAACUACUUUAUUAAUCAUGCUAACUUGCUAA